rnacentral:rRNA from 1 species
GACGAACGCUGGCGGCGUGCCUAAUACAUGCAAGUCGAACGCAUUUUCUUUCACCGUAGCUUGCUACACCGAAAGAAAAUGAGUGGCGAACGGGUGAGUAACACGUGGGUAACCUGCCCAUCAGCGGGGGAUAACACUUGGAAACAGUUGCUAAUACCGCAUAAUUCCAUUUACUGCAUGGUAGAUGGAUGAAAGGCGCUUUUGCGUCACUGAUGGAUGGACCCGCGGUGCAUUAGCUAGUGGGUGGGGUAACGGCCUACCAAGGCUGCGAUGCAUAGCCGACCUGCGAGGGUGCACGGCCACACUGGGACUGUGACCCGGCCCAGACUCCUUCGGGAGGCAGCAGUAGGGAAUCUUCGGCAAUGGGCGCAAGUCUGACCGAGCAACGCCGCGUGAGUGAAGAAGGUUUUCGGGUCGUAAAACUCUGUUGUUAGAGAAGAACAAGGAUGAGAGUGGAAAGUUCAUCCCUUGACGGUAUCUAACCAGAAAGCCACGGCUAACUACGUG